rnacentral:rRNA from 1 species
UAGAGUUUGAUCCUGGCUCACACCGAACGCUGGCGGCAGGCUUAACACAUGCAAGUCGAGCGGGCAUAGCAAUAUGUCAGCGGCAGACGGGUGAGUAACGCGUGGGAACGUACCUUUUGGUUCGGAACNNNNNNNNGAAACUUCAGCUAAUACCGGAUAAGCCCUUACGGGGAAAGAUUUAUCGCCGAAAGAUCGGCCCGCGUCUGAUUAGCUAGUUGGUGAGGUAAUGGCUCACCAAGGCGACGAUCAGUAGCUGGUCUGAGAGGAUGAUCAGCCACAUUGGGACUGAGACACGNNCCAAACUCCUACGGGAGGCAGCAGUGGGGAAUAUUGGACAAUGGGCGCAAGCCUGANNCAGCCAUNNCGCGUGAGUGAUGAAGGCCCUAGGGUUGUAAAGCUCUUUUGUGCGGGAAGAUAAUGACGGUACCGCAAGAAUAAGCCCCGGCUAACUUCGUGCCAGCAGCCGCGGUAAUACGAAGGGGGCUAGCGUUGCUCGGAAUCACUGGGCGUAAAGGGUGCGUAGGCGGGUCUUUAAGUCAGGGGUGAAAUCCUGGAGCUCAACUCCAGAACUGCCUUUGAUACUGAANAUCUUGAGUUCGGGAGAGGUGAGUGGAACUGCGAGUGUAGAGGUNNAAUUCGUAGAUAUUCGCAAGAACACCAGUGGCGAACGCGGCUCACUGGCCCGAUACUGACGCUGAGGCACGAAAGCGUGGGGAGCAAACAGGAUUAGAUACCCUGGUAGUCCACGCCGUACACGAUGAAUGCCAGCCGUUAGU